AGGGAGGUUGAGUAUUUGGUAACUCGUUAGGCUCAUAAUCUGAAUAAGCGGGUUCGAGUCCCGCCCUCUCCG
rnacentral:tRNA from 1 species